GGAACAUCAUGGUGCUGCCUCGUGUCUGAAGCCAGCUGAAUCCUUACCCAGAGGAUGGGUGCUCUGUGUCACGUGAAAUACUCAUUUUCAUUUACGUUGAAAUUCCAUAAAGUCCAUAAUUUUUCUCUUCUGCCCAUCGGCCUAGGUCGACCCUCACAGACGACUGGCCCUAAAUGCGAAGUGUGAGGCAGUCACGACUGUAUUAGCGAUCUGUUGCUGCAGAGUGAAUCACCACAAAACGCAUGGGCUUGAGACAGCAAACAUUCUCUCCCCAGAGUCUGAGGGUCAGGAGUCCAGGAGCAGCUGAGCCGGCUGGUGCUGGCCCAGGGUCUCCUGACGGUGGGGUCGAGGUCGGCCAGGGCUGCAGUCGUGUGAAGGCUCGACUGGUGUGGAGAGAGCCACUGUAAGACGGCUCGCACGACUGUCCUCACCUUGCGGACCCCUCCUUGGGGCUGUUUCAGUGUCCUAGUGACCCUUGAGCCAGUGAUCCAAGACAGCAAAGCACAAGUGACAUCGUCUGUGAUGCCUGGCCUCAGAAGCCAUGUGCUGUCUCUUCCUCUCUGUUUUACUGGUUACACUGGCCGCCCUGAGACAGUUGGAGGGGACUGUCCAAGGCCACAGAUACUGGGUGGAGUCCAUCGGCCUUGGAGGCCGGCUACCCCGCUGGUGACUUGACCUCUUAACUUCUGUUUCCUGAUGCUCGACACGCCCUUGCAGAGCAGCAGUGUAAGAAGCCACUGCUCUCCGCCCCUCCGUUUGUUUUGAGAGCUUGACAGGUAGAUCAGGUGUGGCUAGUUGCUUAUCAAUUUCACUCCUGACUCUUGUUAAUUCACACACAGGUCGGGUGCUACCAGGGCUUCGCUUUCGCUUGGAGAGGUCUCCUGCGCAGCCACGCCACCGGGAAAGACAGGCACCGUCAGAACAGUUCCGGAGGCCUUUCAAGCUGAUCGGGAUAAAAAUCUGCUUUUUCAAGAAUUCAUGCACUAGCAAGUCACUUCUUUCUCAAGAUGUCGGGAAAUUUGCAACCAUGUUUGUGGAACUGGACGAGAGUGUCACACACAGACCUACAUCUGCCAGUAGCUGUGCAACUUGGGCAAAUCUCUGUCCCUAUCUGUGAAGCGGGAGGUGACUGUGCCUCUCCCAAGGCGGCAGGGAAGAGUAAUUACGGUAAUUCGCGUGAAGCAGUUAGCAUAGGGCCUGGCAUACAUCAAGGCAUUUUAAAUGUUUUCAUUCAUGUAUGUAUUUGUUCUCAUGCAGAAUGAAGGCCAUGUGAUGCAUGCUGUAUGUGGAAUUAAUUAAACAUUUCGCUUUAUAUUCAGAAAGAGAAGUUUAAAAACGGCUUCAUGGUCUAUAAACUCACUUUUAUUUGCUGACUUGUGAGCUGUGUGGAUGUGAGAUUUAAAUCUUAGAAAGCACUUAUGAAUGCAUUUUUAAAAAGCUUAACCACAUUAAUCUUCUUCCUUCUCACCCUGCACAGAGAAUAAAAAAGUUGAUUAAAAAAGGAA